rnacentral:rRNA from 1 species
AUUGAACGCUGGCGGCAGGCCUAACACAUGCAAGUCGAACGAGUGGCGGACGGGUGAGUAAUGUCUGGGAAACUGCCUGAUGGAGGGGGAUAACUACUGGAAACGGUAGCUAAUACCGCAUACCAUCGGAUGUGCCCAGAUGGGAUUAGCUAGUAGGUGGGGUAAAGGCUCACCUAGGCGACGAUCCCUAGCUGGUCUGAGAGGAUGACCAGCCACACUGGAACGGAGACACGGUCCAGACUCCUGCAGGAGGCAGCAGUGGGAUAUAUUGCACAAUGGGCACAAGCCUGAUACAGCCAUGCCGCGUGUAUGAAGGAGGCCUUCGGGUUGUAAAGUACUUUCAGCGGGGAGGCGUUACCCGCAGAAGAAGCGCCGACUAACUCCGUGCCAGCAGCCGCGGUAAUAC